rnacentral:rRNA from 1 species
CCUACGGGAGGCAGCAGUGGGGAAUCUUGUGCAAUGGACGAAAGUCUGACACAGCCACGCCGCGUGCGGGAAGAAGGCCUUCGGGUUGUAAACCGCUUUCAGCAGGAACGAAAAUGACGGUACCUGCAGAAGAAGAUGCGGCCAACUACGUGCCAGCAGCCGCGGUGAUACGUAGGCAUCAAGCGUUGUCCGGAUUUAUUGGGCGUAAAGAGCUCGUAGGCGGUUCAGCAAGUCGGGUGUGAAAACUCUGGGCUUAACCCAGAGCCUGCACUCGAAACUGCUGUGACUAGAGUUCGGUAGGGGAGCAGGGAAUUCCUAGUGUAGCGGUGAAAUGCGCAGAUAUUAGGAGGAACACCAAUGGCGAAGGCACUGCUCUGGGCCGAUACUGACGCUGAGGAGCGAGAGCGUGGGUAGCAAACAGGAUUAGAUACCCUGGUAGUCCACGCCGUAAACGAUGGGCACUAGGUGUGGGUCUCUAACCAACGAGAUCUGCGCCGUCGCUAACGCAUUAAGUNCCCCGCCUGGGGAGUCGGUCGCAAGCUAAAACUUAAGGAAUUGACGGNNGAGAGNGCGAGACGACGACGAGGGAGGAGG